GGACAGUUUGUAGAAUGACAGUUGUCUCCCUUGAAUUUCUGCUGAAUGUUUUCAUUUUGGACUCAGGAUAAUGUAUUUGUUGUGUUAAUAAGUUAUGACACAGUUUUUUUUUAAUAUAUAAAGACAUAUUCUAAGCUCUGUAUGUGUAUAUGUACAUACAAAGUGGUUAUUUUUCUAAAUCAUUCCAAAAUGUAAGAGAAUGUCGAAAUAUCAAAAGUGUCUAUGCAGCUGUAGCCAUCACUGAUAAACAGUGAUCCUGUAUUUUGACACACCAGUGUGUGAGAUAGUGAUCCUGUAUUUUGACACACCAGUGUGUGAGAUAGUGAUCCUGUAUUUUGACACACCAGUGUGUGAGGUAGUGAUCCUGUAUUUUGACACACCAGUGCGUGAGAUAGUGAUCCUGUAUUUUGACACACCAGUGUGUGAGAUAGUGAUCCUGUAUUUUGACACACCAGUGUGUGAGGUAGUGAUCCUGUAUUUUGACACACCAGUGUGUGAGGUAGUGAUCCUGUAUUUUGACACACCAGUGCGUGAGAUAGUGAUCCUGUAUUUUGACACACCAGUGUGUGAGAUAGUGAUCCUGUAUUUUGACACACCAGUGUGUGAGGUAGUGAUCCUGUAUUUUGACACACCAGUGUGUGAGGUAGUGAUCCUGUAUUUUGACACACCAGUGUGUGAGGUAGUGAUCCUGUAUUUUGACACACCAGUGUGUGAGAUAGUGAUCCUGUAUUUUGACACACCUGUGUGUGAGAUAGUGAUCCUGUAUUUUGACACACCAGUGUGUGAGGUAGUGAUCCUGUAUUUUGACACACCAGUAUGUGAGGUAGUGAUCCUGUAUUUUGACACACCAGUGUGUGAGGUACAUGUUAAAUCCUUCACAUAAAUCAGCUGUAUAGUUCAUGGUGCUAAAUGCAUUGCGUGCAUGUAAAACAUAACAUCUGUUUGACAGACUUUUCGUUAGUUCAAUUGCCAGGAUGUUACAUAUCCAGACUUGGUCAUUUAUUAAAUGUACUGUACUCUAGGUAGGUGGUCAUUGUUAAAUACUGUACAUUAGGUACGUACAAUGUACUCAGGAAAAGACCAGUGGUACCCUUCUGCUGAACUACAUUGUACAUGUGCAAAUAUUAAUUCAUGUAGAUAUUUAAGAGCGGGCGAAAUAAACUGAGGUUUUAAACCAGC
rnacentral:misc_RNA from 1 species